GUCCACGCCGUAACGAUGGAUACUAGCUGUUGGGCAACUUCAGUGGCUAAGCGAAAGUGAUAAGUAUCCCACCUGGGAGUACGUUCGCAAGAAUGAAACUCAAAGGAAUUGACGGGCCCGCACAAGCGGUGGAGCAUGUGGUUUAAUUCGAUGAUACGCGAGGAACCUUACCAAGGCUUAAAUGUAGUUUGACCGUUUUGGAAACAGAACUUUUCGCAAGACAAAUUACAAGGUGCUGCAUGGUUGUCGU
rnacentral:rRNA from 1 species